GCUAGGGUUACCAUGAGAUGAGGGAAAUCUUUCGAAGUUUAUUCAUGUGAAAGUUGCUUUAUACAGAUCUGUGCAAGCAUAUAUGAUCGAGUUCCUUGAAUUUCAUGGAUCAUCAUCUUCUUUGAGUUUGUUGGUGAUGAGUAUUAGUGGUAUUGAAGGAAGGGAGCUUUCUUCAGUCCACUCAUGGGUGGCAGUGAGAUUUCAAUUAGCUGCCGACUCAUUCAUCCAAAUACUGGGUUAUUAGAUCGAUCAGGACAGACCCAGUAAAUGUGUGAAUGAUGCGGGAGACAAAUUGGAUCUUAAGCCUCCUGUACUUGGACUGAAGGGAGCUCCCUUAUCUAAUUCC
rnacentral:lncRNA from 1 species